rnacentral:rRNA from 1 species
UACAGAGGGGCAAGCGUUGUUCGGAAUUACUGGGCGUAAAGGCGCGUAGGCGGCCUGUUAAGUCGAACGUGAAAUCCCCGGGCUCAACCCGGGAACUGCGUCCGAUACUGGCAGGCUUGAAUUCGGGAGAGGGAUGCGGAAUUCCAGGUGUAGCGGUGAAAUGCGUAGAUAUCUGGAGGAACACCGGUGGCGAAGGCGGCAUCCUGGACCGACACUGACACUGAGGCGCGACAGCGUGGGGAGCAAACAGG